rnacentral:rRNA from 1 species
CCAGACUCCUACGGGAGGCAGCAGUGGGGGAUAUUGCACAAUGGGGGAAACCCUGAUGCAGCGACGCCGCGUGAGUGAAGAAGUAUUUCGGUAUGUAAAGCUCUAUCAGCAGGGACGAAAAUGACGGUACCUGAGUAAGAAGCCCCGGCUAACUACGUGCCAGCAGCCGCGGUAAUACGUAGGGGGCAAGCGUUAUCCGGAAUUACUGGGUGUAAAGGGAGCGUAGACGGUGAAGUAAGUCUGGAGUGAAAGGCGGGGGCCCAACCCCCGGACUGCUCUGGAAACUAUUUGACUGGAGUGCAGGAGAGGUAAGCGGAAUUCCUAGUGUAGCGGUGAAAUGCGUAGAUAUUAGGAGGAACACCAGUGGCGAAGGCGGCUUACUGGACUGUAACUGACGUUGAGGCUCGAAAGCGUGGGGAGCAAACAGGAUUAGAUACCCUUGUACCU